rnacentral:rRNA from 1 species
GAAGCCGGAAUUGCUGUAAUGGCAGGUCAGCAUACUGCCGUGAAUACGUUCCCGGGCCUUGUACACACCGCCCGUCACACCAUGAGAGUUGGGGAUACCCGAAGCCUGUGAGCUAACUUUAGAGGCAGCAGUCGAAGGUAGAAUCAAUGAUUGGGGUGAAGUCGUAACAAGGUAUC